CGGCUGGCCCUCUCCGAGCACCCCGGCUGGCCCCCUCCGGGCACCCCGGCUGGCCCACACCGGGGCCCAGGGACGCCCUGCAGCGCGGCUCCUCUCAGCAGAGGCUCAGCUAGUGACUGUUUCGCUCACCGUCUCCUCCUCGGGACCCGGGAAACGUGCUGCCAAACCUAAGGGCAGGAUAGUUGCUGCCUAAGGUCUGGGCCCUGAGCUGCAAUAGCACCGUAUUGAAAUGCCCACAGUUAGGACUCGCGACCCCGAAGUACUCGUGAGCGGAUCCAGAACUGCAAGUGCUCAUGAGCAGGUGGCAAGGCUGUUGGCGGACUUAUCCUGGCUGCUUGCACGUUAUCCGUGAAUUAUCCUGAUGAACAGCAGCAACCUGGUCAGUUCGCUGAGACGCUCCUUGGGUCCCCACGUGUAGUCGUCGGUAGCGCAGGUGUCAGAGGUGGUGGAAAGUAUAUUGGCAAAUAGAACCUCCAUACUGUUUCCCAUUGUGGCUGCACCAGUUUGCAUUUCUGCCAACAGUACAUCAGGGGUCCCUAUCCUCCACAUCAUCACCAACACUUGUUAUUUCUUAUCUUUUUGAUAAAUGCCAUCCUAACAGGUGUGAAGUAAUAUCUCAUAGUGGUUCACAGUAGAAUGGUGAUCACUAGAAGACAGUGGGUGGGAGAAGUAGGGAGAUGCUCCGCAAACAGCGAAGAUCUUCAGUUAUAAGAUGAGCAAGUUCUGGGUUUCUACUGUUCAGCGGGAUGACUAUAGUUAAUGACGCUGAACCGUAUGGUUGAAAUUUGCUAAAAGAGUAGACCUUACACAUUCUCCCCACAUGCACACAAAUAUAACAAUGCGAGGUGAUGAAUGUGCUGAUUAACCUGGCUGUGGAAAUUAUUUCACAAAGUAUAUGUAUAUCAAAUCAUUAUGUUGUACACUUUAUAUAUAUUUUUUCUGUCAGUUAGACCCCAAUAAGGAAAAAAAAAACCUACAAGAAAUGUAAGUAAUGCAGCAAAGAUACAGAAUCCAGGAAAAAUAGCAAACCAAGCUGUGAUAUUUAGCAAAAUCACAUAGAAGCACAGAAUAGGAGGAAAGGAUGUAGAGAGUUCUGGUUCAUAAUGUCCAGUUUAAACAAGAAACUAAGAUUUAGAAAGCUAAUACACUAGAGGUUAUUAAAGUUAGAAGCUCUAUAGAUCUAUUUCUUCAGACUGUUAAUCUCUACACCAUUCCAUGACUUCUAGGCAAGUUCCACUAGAAAUCUCAAGGAGCACUUUAAUACUACUCUCUUUCUCACUCUUGACCUACUUCCAGUCAGCAACCACGUUUUAUGAGUUCUUCAUUGCAAAACCAAUGUUUUCCAACCUCAAGAUUUAUUUAUAUUAUGUAAUUGUCAAAAAUGUGAGAAACUAGUAAAAGUACAUAAAACCAACCAUGUGAAUUGUAAAACCAAUGUCGUCAUUUAGAUUUUUCUACUAUAAUAAUCAUAGGUAAUCAAUGUAGAAAAUAAAAACUCAACAUUAUAACAUCCACAAAUCUGGAUUCAUUCCCACUAAGCAUUUCAAACAUUUCAUUUCUGUGCUUCAAAAUAUCUUUCACUUUUGUCCUUUCCUAAGUAGUCCUUUGUCACUGGCCCUCCAAUGUGUACACUUUCUAUUCCACUUUCAUGCUGCUUCCAGAUUACUGACCUAAGACAUAGAUUAGAUCCUGCUACUUCAUUUCUCAAUGGUAAUCAAAGGUGUUCAUCUUCCAGAUAGCUACACACACACACACACGCACACAAACGCACACACACACUCUCUAAAAUGGUCCAAUAUGUCAUAUAAGAGUUUCCACGGGAUAAAAUUUAGAACCAGUUCUUUUGUUUGAUCAGAGAUGGAGUAGGGACUUGAAAACAAAACAAGAUGAAAAGGUAGUUAGCUUAAGACAAGUAUUCUAAUUUGGAACUAACUUGACCAGGAAAAGGAUAUUGUGAGGGGCAUUAGGUUCCCAAAAGCAGUGACUAUAACAGAAGGUUAAGGCUAGGGGCAUC